UCAGUCAACAUGUCUAUGCAGCCGUAUUCUGAUGAAGAGCUGAGCUACUUCAAGUUUGCGUCAAUUGUUCUAAAGGAAUUCCCUGAUGCUUUGCGUGGCAUGUUUGUACACAUGUGGGACACCAGAGUAGCACCAAGUUCCACAGUUUGGGAUGACUCGCCUCUUGUACGCAAUAUACUCCACAACAAUGAGGCUCCAAACACAAAAAUGCCGACGAACAACUCAUUUAAAGAGUGGGACUGCACUGCACUAUUUCAAGCUACUCUGUAUGCAAGAACAUUUGCGCUACCAGACAGCACAGGAAAGAAAAAGACGCUUGGAGAAAUGUAUUUAAAAGGACGAAAGCCCGCCUCUGCUCCAUUCCACUCUGUCGUGAGGAGCUCGAGUGGAGAUGUAAACGAGACGAUUGCACUUGCCAUUGAUCAGCUUCGUCUUUUACGAAACACCCUCUGUCAUACAUCCAGCCCUCAAAUUAAUAAAGUCACGUUCGAUGACUAUGUCAAGCACGCCAAAGACGCGUUCAGCGCUUUGAAUUUUAGCACGACAUCUCUGGAGAGGAUUGGCAACAUGAAAGAGUCGGAUUUUCCUACAAAGGAAGUAGAAAAACUCAAUGAAGGAAUCACUCGUCUGAGAAAUAACUUCUAUCUCUUUCUCGAAAGUGAGGUUAAGCAUGAAAUGAGUGGAGUGAAACAUGAAAUGAGUGAAGUGAAAUAUGAAAUGAAUGAAAUGAAACAUGAACUGAGUAGCAUUAAAGGUGUAUUAACACAGACAAAAGAUGCCACAG